AAAAUUAGGAGUGUUCAAUGCAAGCAGAUUUAACCCUUCUGCCACCGAAUACAUUAGCAUGGGAUAAUGGAAUAGGACCCUGUCCUCCUAUUUACGUGUUGGUUUUUGAGGACCAGGGUAAUGAUUAAUAGGGAUAGUUGGGGGCAUUAAUAUUUAAUUGUCAGAGGUGAAAUUCUUGGAUUUAUGAAAGAUUAACUUCUGCGAAAGCAUCUGCCAAGGAUGUUUUCAUUAAUCAAGAACGAAAGUUAGGGGAUCGAAGACGAUCAGAUACCGUCGUAGUCUUAACCAUAAACGAUGCCGACCAGCGAUUAGGAGACGUUGAAUACAAAACACCACCAUUAACACGAUCGUUUUUUGCAAAUUUUGCCACGUACGCGUGGUGUGUGGGUGUGUGGGAAAGGAACUUUAUUUGACUUAAUGGCCCAA
rnacentral:rRNA from 1 species